rnacentral:lncRNA from 1 species
GGUGGACUGGACCCGAACUAACUUGACAUCAACUCCUUUUCUUUAUAAAUUACUGAGUCUCGGGUAUUCCUUUAUAGUGAUGCCUAAAACAGUGUCCUUGGUCUAUAAAAUGGGCUAGCUGUGAUGACCGGGCAGGGCCGUGGAGAAGAUGGAGGUUCACUGCACACAGUGGCACCUGCUUAGGGAUGGUAUAUUUUUAUAUCAUCUUGGCUGGGGAUUUCCUCCUUGAUUUUCUAGUGAGUUCUCUCUCCUCCACGCCAGCCAGUCCUUUCCAGCACAGCUCGGAACUCAGUGCGAUUGGCAAGGCGAGCUGGCUGACUGACUUUUGGGAUAGGGCCACACCAAGCCUACGCCCAGCAAUGCCUACACAGGUCUGGCAGGCUGGCUUUGUGGCUCCAGGCAUGUGGGCAGGAUGGAGCAGGCGGGACAGGGGUUGUCUUUUCUUAAUCACCUCCCAUGGUGCAGCCGGCCAUGCUGGACUGUGGUGACCCCAGAGCCUGGCUCCCUGGUUGGUCUCCC